rnacentral:rRNA from 1 species
AGAGUUUGAUCAUGGCUCAGAACGAACACUGGCGGCAUGGGUUAGGCAUGCAAGUCGAACGAGAACGUUCCCUUCGGGGAACUAGUACAGUGGCGAACGGGUGAGUAACAGGUGGAAAACCUGCCCUACAAUGGGGGAUAACAGUUCUAACGAGCUGCUAAUACCGCAUACGACCUUUGGAUCGCAUGUUCCGAAGGUGAAAGGUGGCCUCUCUUUGAAGCUGCCGUUGUAGGAUGGUUCCGCCUCCCAUUAGCUUGUUGGUGGGGUAAUGGCCUACCAAGGCGACGAUGGGUAGCCGGCCUGAGAGGGUGUCCGGCCACACUGGGACUGAGAUACGGCCCAGACUCCUACGGGAGGCAGCAGUCGAGAAGCUUCGGCAAUGGGCGAAAGCCUGACCGAGCGAUGCCGCGUGAGUGAAGAAGGCCCUAUGGGUUGUAAAGCUCUGUCAGAUUGGGAAGAAAAUCCUACGGUUAAUACCCGUGGGACUUGACGGUACCAUCAGAGGAAGCACCGGCUAACUCCGUGCCAGCAGCCGCGGUAAUACGGAGGGUGCAAGCGUUGUUCGGAUUCACUGGGUAUAAAGGGUGCGCAGGCGGCUUGAUAAGUCAGGGGUGAAAUAUGACGGCUUAACCGUCAAACUGCCCCUGAAACUGUCAGGCUUGAGUCCGGGAGAGGAAGGUGGAAUUCCAGGUGUAGCGGUGAAAUGCGUAAAUAUCUGGAGGAACACCGGUGGCGAAGGCGGCCUUCUGGCCCGGAACUGACGCUCAGGCACGAAAGCAUGGGGAGCGAACGGGAUUAGAUACCCCGGUAGUCCAUGCCGUAAACGAUGGGUACUAGGUGUUGGAGGAUUCUACCCCUUCAGUGCCGCAGCUAACGCAUUAAGUACCCCACCUGGGGAGUACGAUCGCAAGGUUGAAACUCAAAGGAAUUGACGGGGGCCCGCACAAGCGGUGGAGCAUGUGGUUUAAUUCGAUGCAACGCGAAGAACCUUACCUGGGCUUGACAUGCAGGGGACAGGUGUAGAAAUACAUCCUUCUUCGGACUCCUGUACAGGUGCUGCAUGGCUGUCGUC